rnacentral:rRNA from 1 species
ACGGGUGAGUAACACGUGGGAACGUACCCUUCGGUUCGGAAUAACUCAGGGAAACUUGAGCUAAUACCGGAUACGCCCUUUUGGGGAAAGGUUUACUGCCGAAGGAUCGGCCCGCGUCUGAUUAGCUUGUUGGUGGGGUAACGGCCUACCAAGGCGACGAUCAGUAGCUGGUCUGAGAGGAUGAUCAGCCACACUGGGACUGAGACACGGCCCAGACUCCUACGGGAGGCAGCAGUGGGGAAUAUUGGACAAUGGGCGCAAGCCUGAUCCGGCCAUGCCGCGUGAGUGAUGAAGGCCUUAGGGUUGUAAAGCUCUUUUGUCCGGGACGAUAAUGACGGUACCGGAAGAAUAAGCCCCGGCUAACUUCGUGCCAGCAGCCGCGGUAAUACGAAGGGGGCUAGCGUUGCUCGGAAUCACUGGGCGUAAAGGGCGCGUAGGCGGCCGAUUAAGUCGGGGGUGAAAGCCUGUGGCUCAACCACAGAAUUGCCUUCGAUACUGGUUGGCUUGAGACCGGAAGAGGACAGCGGAACUGCGAGUGUAGAGGUGAAAUUCGUAGA